rnacentral:lncRNA from 1 species
AUCGAAGCAACGAUGUCUAGAUUGUGGGUUGGGGUUCGUGAAAUGUAUGGAGGUCGAGAAGAAUACUAAAAACAUAGGACGAGUAUUCUUAAGUUGCAAAAGAGAUUGCCAGUUUUUUGAUUGGAAUGAUCUUCGUCAUCGAGGGCAAAACCGAUGCAAUUGCAAGGAGAAGAUUUGUCGUCCAUGUUCGAGAUAUUUGCUCAAAUAACUUAAGAAAAAGGACGUGGAGAUAUCCUUAAACAUAAUUAUGCGCGAGGGAAAAUGAUCUACAUAAGACGCGUUUGUCAUUUUUAUGUUUCUGUAGUAGGCACUAGCUUCAGUUUAAGUUAUAUUUGGUGUAUGUUGUUGGCCACAUUGAAUGUGGGCGUGCAUUAAUCCUAUAAGUGGGCAUACAUUCAAAGAUGUCAACUGGGGAACCUAUAUGCUGAAUUUCAAGCAACACUUUUGCUUAAUUUGUAAUUUGAACUGUAUUUUUAUUCUAUUCAGUAACUGUAUUGAGCUUAUUAGUAAAUGACUUUGUGUUGAGCUUAUUAGGAAAUACAGCG